UGGCCAGACUCCUACGGGAGGCAGCAGUGGGGGAUAUUGCACAAUGGGGGAAACCCUGAUGCAGCGACGCCGCGUGUGGGAAGACGGUCUUCUGGAUUGUAAACCCCUGUCCCCAGGGACGAAAAUGACGGUACCUGGGGAGGAAGCUCCGGCUAACUACGUGCCAGCAGCCGCGGUAAUACGUAGGGAGCAAGCGUUGUCCGGAAUUACUGGGUGUAAAGGGAGCGUAGGCGGGGAUGCAAGUUGGGUGUCAAAACUAGCGGCUCAACCGAUAGUCGCACUCAAAACUGCAGCUCUUGAGUGAAGUAGAGGCAGGCGGAAUUCCUAGUGUAGCGGUGAAAUGCGUAGAUAUUAGGAGGAACACCAGUGGCGAAGGCGGCCUGCUGGACAGAAACUGACGUUGAGGCUCGAAAGCGUGGGGAGCAAACAGGAUUAGAUACCCGAGUA
rnacentral:rRNA from 1 species